UCCCAAGUAAUGGGAAUAAAUCAGCCCAUCUUCCCAGAGUGCAGGAGCAGUACUGCUAACACGAGCCGGAGAUUCACCACCCGGGCACUGAGAGGAAAGGAGGCAAAUGAUAAUGAGUCAUUAUGAGCCUACAUGGUGUUGUGGGAACAGGCCUGAUUGCCAGAGUCUGAGAAUCAUGGAAUUUCAGAGUUGGAAGGGGCUUCAGUGGAUAUCUAGUCCAAACCAAACCUGGAAAAAUAAUUCCCUCUACAAGAAUUUCAAGACUGAUGUAAUUCAAUUCAUCUAGCAACAUGUGCAUUUGUUGGUCAUGGGAUAAAGAUCACACAUUUUGAAAACCAAUAAUCAAGGUAUAGUUUACAGACACUCUAAGAAUUAUUAGAAUUCUCUGCUCUUUCUUCUGCCAAUGCACCAUCUUUGCAGGAGUGGAAAAGGCAACAGAGGUUUGAGCACCAUUUUGUACUUUUUAUUUCAUCAUUUAGGAUAGCCAAAUAAUUCAUCAUGAAGUGGUCAGCCUCCUGAUGAAAAGCUCCUCUAAAACUAGGUAGACUGUUCUUCAGAAAACAGAGUCAAUUGGUUAUUGGGACUAUCCUAGAAACCUUUCCAAUAUGGUACAACUCACAAGAGCUUUCAUUCCUCUGGCAUAGCCUUUGAGAACUCAACACCAACUUAGUGCCAUGAUAAAACAUCAGAAUGGGAUUUUGUGAAAUUAAAUCAACAUAGACACUAAUACUCAGUGACUUCAAUGAAAAGGAAUAAAUAUAUGAGGAUGAUGAGAAAUGUAUUGAAGAGCAUGAGUCAGGAAGAAGACCAAAGAUUAAAUCAGGCUGUACCAAAGCCUCAUACUUUCACAUUACAAAUAUUUUCUUUGAGAAAAUAAUCGGUAGGUACAUGCGAAGCACUGAGCAACAUCAGAAAAAAAUGACUUCAUUGGCUGUCUCCCAUGCUUGGAAUGUUCUCCCUCUUCAUCCCUGCCUCAAGCUUCCCUGGCCCCCUUCAAGUCUCAUCUAAAAUCCCAACUUAUAUAGAAAGCCUUUCCCAAUCUCCCCAAAC